rnacentral:rRNA from 1 species
CGGGUGAGUAACACGUGGAUAACCUACCUAUAAGACUGGGAUAACUUCGGGAAACCGGAGCUAAUACCGGAUAAUAUAUUGAACCGCAUGGUUCAAUGUGAAAGACGGUUUUGCUGUCACUUAUAGAUGGAUCCGCGCCGCAUUAGCUAGUUGGUAAGGUAACGGCUUACCAAGGCAACGAUGCGUAGCCGACCUGAGAGGGUGAUCGGCCACACUGGAACUGAGACACGGUCCAGACUCCUACGGGAGGCAGCAGCA